rnacentral:rRNA from 1 species
AGCACGCGCUUGUGGGUACNUGAANGNCNCANUCGGCGUCACGUACUGUACACUGUAUCCACGUGUAUCUAGUGCGUCUGGCGGAGCUGGACAUCACUCGCGUCAGUCAACGACGUAGCGUAAUCUACUCCUCGCGGAUCGGGAACACACCGCCGGGCAAACUCGGCGCUAAUAUCCGAUAGGUAUGGAUUCCUGGAAUGGUGUCAUGCCUAAAUGUAAACACAUCCAUGUUUGUGUGCACGCCCGAGGAUGGGGCUGCGGCCGAUCAGGCAGUUGGUGAGGUAACGGCUCACCAAACCUUUGACCGGUACGGGCCGUGAGAGCGGUAGCCCGGAGAUGGGCACUGAGACAAGGGCCCAGGCCCUACGGGGCGCAGCAGGCGCGAAACCUCCACAAUUCACGAAAGUGAGAUGGGGCUACCUCGAGUGCCGCCUGAAGAAGGUGGCUUUUCCAUGGUGUAAUGAGCCUUGGGAAUAAGGGGGGGGCAAGACUGGUGUCAGCCGCCGCGGUAACACCAGCCCCCCGAGUGGUGGGGAUGAUUAUUUGGCCUAAAGCGUCCGUAGCCGGCUCUGUAAAUCUCUCGUUAAAUCCAGCGUCCUAAGCGUUGGGCUGCGAGAGAGACUGCCGAGCUAGAGGGUGGGAGAGGUCAGCGGUAUUCCUGGGGUAGGGGCGAAAUCCAUUGAUCCCAGGAGGACCACCAGUGGCGAAGGCUGCUGACUAGAACACGCCUGACGGUGAGGGACGAAAGCUGGGGUAGCGAAUCGGAUUAGAUACCCGAGUAGUCCCAGCUGUAAACGAUGCAGGCUAGGUGUUGGGUCGGCCAUGCGCCGCCUCAGUGCCACAGGGAAGCCAUUAAGCCUGCCGCCUGGGGAGUACGGCCGCAAGGCUGAAACUUAAAGGAAUUGGCGGGGGAGCACCACCAGGCGUGAAGCCUGCGGUUUAAUUGGAGUCAACGCCGGGAA